GGUUGAGUUCGAAAAAUUAAAUACUGGUUUUCUGGUGAAACAAGCUUGGUGUAAACAUACUUUUGUUAAAGCAUCCAUGAUUUUGAAAUAAAACCACAAUAUAAGUGAACUAUGGUAAGGCCUGUUGGUUGGACGGCGCUGAUUGAUGAUCAAUUCAUUGUGAUUACAGAUAUAUGUUUCUUUUUGUUAAUGAAGAUGGAAUUAGACGUGGACAGAUCUAGCUGAGUAAAUUAGGUGGCUUAUGUGGUUCUGGAACAAUAUAGUAAGAAUUAAGGAAACAUAUUGUUGGGGGUCUGCUUCGUCGCCGAAGGUCCCAUAAGAAGGAACACCUUCGGAAGAUUGACACAAAGUCGAAGCUAUCAAUCAAAGAGCUUCGGAGUACAUUUUCAGAUGCACCGACUUAAAGAUGAAAUGAGCAAUGGGCCUGUGAUAGUUGGUAUUAUGAUUGUAAACAUUUGUAAAGGGCAUGAAUGUAAUUUCUCACAGGCUGUGUCCUGCGCCUAUAAAUAGAUGAACAGUACCCCUAUACUGUUCACGCUAUCUUGUAUUCGCU
rnacentral:lncRNA from 1 species